UUUCUGUUUCAGGACUAUCUGUUAAAAGCUCGCAGGCCUCAAACAAAGUUAUCUAGCUGCUCUUUUUUUUUUUUUUUUCAGUAAAUAUUCACAUUUUCUUGCUUAAUCGAGUGGGCACCACAGAAGCAAACACCAAAAAAACAUUUCCACGUCUGUUUCCUUUUUCGGCCAGAGGCCCCUCCGCCGCCCAUCUGGUGGUGCCAGGAAAACCCACGGGCUUCUACACACAGCAAAGUCAGAGCUGGGAAAAGCCAGAACCCAACUGAUCAAAGGUCAGCCUGGAAGACCAAAAAUUUAUACUGCAUUUUGUCAUAGGCUGUGGCUGCUAUCUUCAUUCAGGAAGGUAGACAGACUCAAAGCUUACAGACAACGUGGUAGAUCUGCUUUGGAGCCAGGUAGUGGGCACUGUGCACAGCCAACUGUCAGUGCAGCAGCAGCCUACCUGUCUCAAGGAACCACAGCGACUGCCAAGGAUCUGCCCUUCCUGAAGCACAGAAAAAGCCCCAGGGCAAGAGGCUCCUCAACAGCAAAAAGAUGCACUCAACAAGGAGCAGACAGUGUUCUAAAAGAAUGGGGAGAAGUGCAACCUGCAGAAUGCUGCUGGAAAGGGAUUUGGGAGCCUGUGCUUCACCUCCAAAACAAAUUAGCUGCUAGAAGUACAGUGUACAUACACUAAAAAUAAAUCAAAGAGACAAA
rnacentral:lncRNA from 1 species